rnacentral:tRNA from 1 species
GGGGUGGUGGCGCGGUUGGCUAGCGCGUAGGUCUCAUAAUCCUGAGGUCGAGAGUUCGAGCCUCUCUCACCCCA